UACGGUAGGGGGCUAGCGUUGUCCGGAAUCAUUGGGCGUAAAGAGCGUGUAGGCGGUCCGGUAAGUCCGCUGUGAAAGUCGGGGGCUCAACCCUCGAAUGCCGGUGGAUACUGUCGGGCUAGGAGUGCGGAAGAGGCGAGUGGAAUUCCUGGGUGUAGCGGGUGAAAUGCGCAGAUAUACAGGAGGAACACCUAUUGCGAAGGCAGCUUGCUGGGACGGUACUGACGCUGAGGCGACGAAAGGCGUGGGGGAGCAAACAGG
rnacentral:rRNA from 1 species